UGACGACUGGCGCACGGGUGAGUAACGCGUAUCCAACCUUCCCGUUACUGCGGGAUAACCUGCCGAAAGGCAGACUAAUACCGCAUGUUCUUCGAUGACGGCAUCAGAUUCGAAGCAAAGAUCCGUCGGUAACGGAGGGGGAUGCGUCUGAUUAGCUUGUUGGCGGGGUAACGGCCCACCAAGGCAACGAUCAGUAGGGGUUCUGAGAGGAAGGUCCCCCACAUUGGAACUGAGACACGGUCCAAACUCCUACGGGAGGCAGCAGCC
rnacentral:rRNA from 1 species